UACGAAGGGGGCUAGCGUUGUUCGGAUUUACUGGGCGUAAAGCGCGUGUAGGCGGAUCGUUAAGUCGGGGGUGAAAGCCCAGAGCUCAACUCUGGAAUUGCCUUCGAUACUGGCGGUCUGGAGCAGAGAAGAGGCGAGUGGAAUUUCGAGUGUAGAGGUGAAAUUCGUAGAUAUUCGGAGGAACACCAGUGGCGAAGGCGGCUCGCUGGUUUCUUGCUGACGCUGAGAAGCGAAAGCGUGGGGAGCAAACAGG
rnacentral:rRNA from 1 species